rnacentral:lncRNA from 1 species
UGUCAUCUCAAUUAUUUUUGUGAUAUCAAAACAAAUUAGUUCAUAAAUCUGCACAUCACAUGCUACAUAUUUUUAGAGUUUGACUCAAAUAUUAGAAUGUGUGAGAAAUAUGUAGAAGUAUCCCACAUCGAAAAGUUAAAAAAUCUUGCAUAAGUUUAUAGGCUAAAUUGGAUCAAUGGUCCUCAUGGUAACAUGGUAAUCGGAAGAUAGCCCCCAUGGUGAAAAUAUUCGGAUUUAAACCCUCGUGGUAAACUCCGUUAGGAUUUAAGCUCAAAAUUAACAUCUUUCUCAUCUAUCUGUUAACCCAGUCAACCUUCAUAACCAAAAGAGAAAAAAACUCAUUCAUCCAAGGCUAUGAAUUCGUUGAUCCACGCUUCGAUUCCAUUCAAAGAUCUUUUGUCUUUUAAUCAAUGAUUUCCCUAAAUAUGCCCAUUUGAGAAAAAAUGAUUUCAAAGAAGAUCCUUCCGUUGUCAGAUUACAGAAGGAAAAGAACUGAGACGCCACACUCUCCUUCAGUUGUCAGAUUUCAAAGAAAAAAUGAUUACAAACCCCCACACAAGAAUUAAAUAUCAUAAAAUCUUAAUUAUAAUAUCAAAAACUAAAUACAAAAAACAGUUCUUUCCCACACAACCUGAUUCUACGUAUUAUGCAAAUUCACAUCAAAAUUGAAAGAAUUGGGGAAUUCAGUAAAUAUUAAUCGGGAGAGAACAACCAGAACGCAAAAGCUUUGAAGACUGUGGAGAGGUUACCUGCGUCGUCCGGGAUGUUGCCGCUGGAGAGUGUGGUGUCUCGGCUACACAGGAGAAAUAUGCAGGACAAAUUGAGAUUGAACGCUGUAGAUUUCGUGAUUUUAAAAUUCAAUGAAAUCUUUGGAGGAAUGGUGGGAUUGUUAAUUUUGGGUUAAUGGAGAGUUCACAUAAAUGUUAAUUUUGGGCUUAAAUCCUAACGGAGUUCACCACGAAGGUUUAAAUCCGAUUUUUUUCACCACAUGGGUUAUCUUCCGAUUACCCUUUCACUACAAGGACCAUUAAUCUAAUUUAACCAAGUUUAUAAGGAGUCAAACCACUCUUCAAUUACUAUGGAUACUAAAUUGGAACCCUGAUCUCCUUUGUGUGUGGUGGGGGGUGGGGUGAGGUGCUACUCCACUAAAUUGGAUUUCAUCCUACCAAAAAUCAGAUUGGGGGGUUGUGGUAGAGAAAUGUGGAUGGGUGGGUGGGGGGUUGUGGUCAGAAAGCGGACAGUGCCUAAUAUUUUUGGUCAAAUGUAACUUUAUUUUUAGGUCAUAUAUAAGAUACCACAAAAUCCAAAAGAGCGCUACUAGAUCCUUCCUAUUGUCUUAUCUACCUAUCACAAAAAAAGUUAAAAAGUUAAAAUGU